rnacentral:misc_RNA from 1 species
UCCGGUUUGGCACCGGCGGUCUCCGAUGAGCCCCCGGCAUUACCCGCUGGCAACAUCGGACAGGGGUUGCGCUCGUUGCGCCACUUAAGGCAACACCUCACGGCACGAGCUGACGACAGCCAUGCAGCACCUGUGACCGUGCCCCGAAGGGAGGGUGUGUUUCCACACCUGUCACGGACAUGUCAAGCCCAGGUAAGGUUCUUCGCGUUGCAUCGAAUUAAACCACACGCUCCACCGCUUGUGCGGGCCCCCGUCAAUUCCUUUGAGUUUCAGCCUUGCGGCCGUACUCCCCAGGCGGGGCGCUUAAUGCGUUAGCUAUGGCACGGAUCCCGUGGAAGGAAACCCACACCUAGCGCCCACCGUUUACGGCGUGGACUAC